CAGCAUUGGAUGCAUAUAAAGACAAGAAAACUGGAGAACUUUUGGGUCCACAACAUUCGUUUAAUGUGGAGUUUGCUCAAGACAACAUGCAACAAAUAAGUGAUAGCCUUGAUUGCGGACUGUUCGUAGUUGUAUAUGCAGAAUUUCUGAGUGACAAAAUCAACAUGUCAUGUAAUAGUUUUGAGAGUAGCUAUCUUCGCAAAAGAUAUGCGAUACUUUUAUUGAAGUAUGGUCUCGACAAGAUGAAUGCUGGAUAUGUUAGCAACAGUGAUGACCCUUCAAGAAUGAAGAAUGUAUUAAACCCAUCAUCUGAAGAUGAAAUUGUUAAUGUAGGCUAGUUAGUUUUCAAUGUUUGAUUUUUUUUGUUUUGUUUUUUGGAGUUAAACAAGAUGUUUGAAGUAUUUAUUAACAUAACAACACAUAUUGUUAAAUUAUGAAAGUGUUUUGAUUUUUAAAA